ACAGGAUUCUUACUGGAUAUGCCCCAGCGGUUGGCUAUAGUCGGCAUCUCUUUCUCUGAUCGCCGCAAAAUAUGGGCCAUCGGCCAUUCAAUAGAUGAUACAUUGAAGAUCAAAAGCUGCAGGUUGAUGAUUUUUAUGCUCGGAAACAACAGAACAGGCUAGCUGCACGUCAGACAGAACCGGGCAAAGCCAGCCAUGAAGAUUUUGUAUUGAAGCAUCCAGUGGAUAAUCAUGAGAAGGAUUAAAAAAAGCUUCUACCUAUUGUAGGUGUCUCUUGACAACAAGAAAAAUAGAGAUUCGCAAGGCAUGGAUGCCUACUGCUUUGGCUCUCUUUUCCCCUCCCCUUUUUCCUAUUAUCUUUUGGUGGCCUUGUGAAGCUAAAAUUUAGCAACUCCACUAAGAUGCUGAAGAAAUAUUUCAGCUCACCUUACUGAUGCAAUCAUUGUCUGUUGAACACAUUUAGACUUGGUUGCUGUUGAAUUCCCUAGCAACAUCAUUGGUCUUGUCUUAAUCCGAAGUUUCAUCAGUAUUAACUGCUAUCACAAUGAAUUCAACUUUUGAAUAAAUGAUUUCAUUCGAAAUCUCUAAGCUUAUUUUGGCAGGUGCUGCUCUUGAAAAAUUAGAGGAGGAGAAAGGUAUCGUAAUCAUUUCAUGGAAGCUACAUACUCUCAAGUUCAAGCAAAUAAACAAAGAGCUCAUAGAUACACGUUGAAAUGCCUAUAAUUUGGUAAGUCCACGAAGAAUAAUGUUAUUGAUCGAAGCUGAACAGAGGUACAAGAAUUCUGGGCUAAGGAGUAAGAAGCAGAGACAACGCCAAUAUGAUCCCCAAGACAAAGAACUUCAUUGCAUAGAAUAUAUAGUUGCACCUUAUCCAACAACAUUAACUUUCUUUAUAGCACACUUAUUAUAACGGAUAUAGUUCAACCAUUGUCCUCUGUUACAAAGUUGGCUUCAGAAUCAAUGACAUAAAUGUACCUUAUUUUUGGUCAACAUAACUGUUCUUCAUUCCUGCACU